UAUCAUUAGGAUCUGCAGAUUCCUUCUGGGUGACACUGAUUGCAACAUUAGCAUCUGUAUGAGGUAUUACUCUUCCCACCACCGUGGCGGACAACCCGAUAGAACUGGUGCAAAGAGGCUUCUGGGAAGACUCAGCCAGUGAAAGUGCUUGUCACAGGAGCCUGAGAACUACAAGGAUCACCCUAAGCGAUGAAGGAUUUACAAACUUGACUCACAAUUCAGAGGGAGCAGCCCAUCACCGUGAAGAAGACAUAUGGCUGCUAAACUGGCUUGACCCACAGCGACAGGAUGGGAAUUUAUUUCUCAUCACUUAGUAAAUCAGGCAACUGAAAGCUCAUUCCAGGGACAGGUUCCAUGCCUUCAACUAGGCUAGCCCCGCCCCUGCCCCGCCCCCGCUCCGCCCCUGUGAGUCCACAACCAUCUGGGUGCUGGGUUUUCAGACACGUGAAGGGGUGGGGCUUCUUGUUCAGACUGCAUUAUUCAAAGAGCCACUAUAUCAUCAUCCAGUGACUGUUGCCCCUCAAUGUUUUUCUGGAACUUGCAACCUGUACAGCCAAACUGCCCUUAAGAAGGCUGAACAUUAACUUGUUAGUAAUUAACUCCUAAUAGGCUACACUAUCCGAGCAUUUGGGAAGGGAACGCCAUCUAAGGCUGAUUAUGGGGGGGAAGGAAAUCACUGGAAGACGAAGCCGUGAUUUAAAUAAUAAAUGGCCAAGUCUACCGCU